rnacentral:tRNA from 1 species
UCCCUGGUGUUCCAGUGGUUAGGACUCAGCACUUUCACCGCUGAGGCCUGGGUUUGAUCCCUGAUCAGGGAA